ACAGUCAGGUUUGUUCUAUUACUUUUGUAUGAAAGCUUGCUUCACACAACCUAAUGAUGUAGAGAUUUUUAAUGACCUCUAAUUAAUUGGUUGUAUUCACAUACACAUCCUGCCUCAUGCAAGGAGCAAAAUUCUCUUGUUCGUAUAUGUAUCCUUUUUCAAACAGGGCCAGACACCAUACAAUGAAGGCACUUGAAAAUUCUAAUCCCAAAUACCUUCUUUUUUUUUUGGACAAAUUAAUAGAUUCAAUGUAAGCAGUCAAGAGUCUCUGGAUAUUAAGAGUCUGCCUUGCCCAAAAGGCAGUGGUAAGCAGGCCAGGAAAGAUUAGGGUGUAAGAAUUGCAGCUGGGGGGCUGAAUGGAGAAAGAAGUGCUGAGAUUUUUGGCAAAUAAGGAAAGGGGGAAGCUUUAAUAUGAUAGCAGUGUAGCAUAUCAAAAUUGGCAAGGAAAUAGAGAGAGAGAACAGAUAGGAGAAGGGAGGGGGGG
rnacentral:misc_RNA from 1 species